ensembl:lncRNA
GAAAAAAUCUGGACCGGUCUUCCAGAGAGUGAGGGCAGCGGUCCGAGUGCUUUAAGUGCCAGUGACAGAGUCCUGGGCAAAGCGGUGCCCUCCAGAACCGCUGGUCUCUGCCGAGCCUGUGUGACCGUGGCUGAGGACCCCUGGCCCUGGAGGAGGACCUGCCCCUAUUCCAGGUGGAAAUGAGGUUGUCCGCCACCGUGCUGGCCAGUGAGGAAUGCCCAACGUGACUGGCAGUGGCCGGGGCCUGUGUGGCCCCACAUGAGGACAUCCGAUCCCGUGCAGGCCACUGGAGGAACUCUGGACUUGGCAGCAUGGUGGAGAGCUCAGAAGUUCCUCCUCUCCGCUUCACCAAUGAUGAAUCCAAGGCACCAUGAAGGGGAAGCCUCAGUUCCUCAUCCAUAGAAUGGGGGUAAAAACAGGACCUACUGAGCCGGGCAUGGAGGUACACACCUGUGAUCCCAGCACUAAGAAAGCUGAGGCAGGAGGACCACAAGUUCAAGGCCAGCCUGAACUGCACAACAUCGUCACAACAGUGCUGACUGCACAGCCUCAGCUCUAAGCCACCUGCUCCUCCUGUGCACUUGCCGGGGUUGCUGUUGCCUGCUCACGCCAGGACCAGCUGCUCGGGACAGGGUCUUCCUUCACCUGAUUUCAGUAUGAGUUGUCAGGAAUAACAUUUAAUCUACUUUUGAGCUCCAACUUGAAGCUUGACAUAUCGCAGAGAUAAACACCACCUGGUGGAGAUCAGACAGUGACAAGUGAAGUUGAAAGUUCCCUGCCAGCUGCCAUCGAAUCUAAAUGAAGGGCAGUCAAAAACUUCAGCUCUCUCAGAAAAAAACGAUGGAAGGAAUCUCAGAACCGAGAGAGGCUGACUUUGCUGCUGUGUACUUAGUGUCAAAACCUCAAGCGACCCCCCAACCCAAGGGAGGAAAGCCUCUGAAUUGGAGCUGGCAAGCUUUCAAAACCGGCUAAUUACUUUCUAGAAUGUGGUUCACAAAACGGGAGUACAAAGCCCGGCUGGAAAUACAGUGGAAACACUGCUUUCCAUGUCAGAGGGCAAAACUGUAACAACGGGUUUAAUGAUUUUAAUGGGCUUUAUUUUCUGAUGCUAGAAUUGGGGAAUACUUUGUUGCACAAGACAGACUGAGUAUUCCAGGGACAGAGUUGGGGGAGGCUUGUGUCAGAGGCUUGGAAGGGCUGAAGGAAGCAGGAACAAGAAACAGAAGCAGAUUGGCCAUUUGAAAGAUGCUUUCCUGGUAAACCCCACACAGGGAGAUGGAACAAUGGAACAGUCGUUGAUCAAUCAAGAUCAGAUUACCUUCUUUGUAAGGAUUAAGGCAGAUUCUACUUCGUAUCACAAAAUUGAAACUGUCCCCUUCUGCAGAAUGUCAAAUAAACAGGUUUGGCUUAAGGGAAGUUUAGCAAGAAUGAUACCAUUAAAAAAAAGAAUGAUACCAUUUUGACUUUUAGCCUGCUGUUAGGAGCUAGAGCAGAAGCCUAGUUCAAAACAGUGGCCUCCUGUACUUCUUUUCUUUUUCUUUUCUUUUCUUUUGUGGCACCGAGGAUUGAACCCAGGGUCUUCACACUGAGCUCCACCCCAAGCCCUUUUUAUUUUUUAUUUUAAGACAGGGGUUUGCUAAGUCCCCCAGAUAGGACUCGAACUUGUGAUCCUCCUGGCUCAGCCUCCCAGAGUGCUGAUGACAGCGCACCACCAUGCCCACACUGUAACUUAACACCCAUACUCUUUGUAGUUAUGCUUUAAUUCCUGAGGGCUUUAAAUGAUCUUUUGAAAGAUUUUUCUAAAAAACACCAGAAAGGACUAUUAUGUUACAGUUACUGAAGAUGAUCAAGUGUGGUACAGAAACUCCCUCACCCUCAAGGUGAAGGUGAACAUCAAGGUUUGACUGAAAAGCAGCAGAGAAACUGGAUGAACAUACUCAGGUGUCCCUUUCCACCUGAGAAGCUGCUGUUGCAUCACCAGGUAACUUAGACAUGGUGGAAGGUUUGUUUUUGUUUUGUUUUUGGUACCGGGAUUGAACUCGGUCCUUGUGCUUGCGAGGCAGGUGGCAGAACCACUGAGCUAAAUCUCCAGCCCCAGUGGAAGGUUUGAUGCAGAAAAUCCUAUCUUCAGCUCUGAGAUUUUCAAAUGUGCCUGAGGAUGGACUCAAUCCAUGAAUCACGGACCACAGGCACUCAGUAGUUUCAUGAGCCUCACUUUAAAAAAAUUUCCUUUUUAGCUUGCAAUACAUAAUGACUGCAUUCACCUUUCUCUGUCUCUGCUCCCCACGCAGUUGAGGCUCCUCUUCUGGGUGCUUCUUUUUUUUGUAAUUCUUUUUACUAGUCCAUAUUUGCAAUACAUAGCGGUCACACUCCUCCUGGGACUUGGCACAUUUACGUCACACACCUUAAUUCAUUUUGUACCCCCUUCCCUUCCCUCCAUGCCUGUUAUCCUUUUAUUAUUUUGCUCUUAAUUUAUUUCUACGUUGGAUUUCUCCUACAAGAGAAUCUAUGUGAUGUUUAAGCUUGUGUGUCUGAUUUAUUCCACUUAACAUUGUGGUCUCAAGGUGCAUACAUUUUCCUAUAAAUGACUCCAAUUUAUCCUUCUUUAUGGUAGAAUAGUGCUCCAUUGUGUGUAAGUAUCACAUUUUCUUCAUCCACUCCUCUGGAUGGACAUAUGGGGCCAGUUCCAACAUUUAGCUAUUCGGAGCUCUGCUGUUAUUUUUAUAGUCAGUAAGUUAGACAGAAAUUAAUACACAGUCAGAGAGGGACUGGGCUCUCAAGGGAGUUAGCAGAAAAAUAAAGCUCAGGAUUAUGGCUGGAAGUACAUCUGAAGAGCAGGCCUCAAGACAAAAAUGCAACGGCCAGACCUACA